UACUUCAUGAGUACAUGGAAAAAAUAGGAUGGGUUAUGACCAAAUCAAAAGGAGUGCUACACUUUUUGCUCAAUGCAGUUGGGACUCUCUUCCCUUCUCCAAUUACUUGAGCCUUGAUCAAGUGGAUCGCACCAUGCACACCACACCUAGGGGAGUACUCAGUUUCUUUUGCAUUUUAAUAUCUCCUAUACAUUGAGGACAAUGCAUGAUUUAGGUGUGGGGGUGCAUAUUUCUGAAUUUUUACUUUUUGAGUUUAUUUUUGCUUUGAUUUUUAGUUUGCUUGCAUUAGUUGAAAUUUUUUCAUUUUUGCUUUCAAUAACACACACAAAUAGCC
rnacentral:lncRNA from 1 species